rnacentral:rRNA from 1 species
AGACGGAGGGUGCUAGCGUUGUUCGGAAUCACUGGGCGUAAAGGGCGCGUAGGCGGCCUUUUCAGUCGGAUGUGAAAGCCCGGGGCUCAACCCCGGAACGGCAUCCGAGACGGGAAGGCUGGAGACCGGGAGAGGAGGGUGGAAUAGCCAGUGUAGAGGUGAAAUUCGUAGAUAUUGGCUGGAACACCGGUGGCGAAAGCGGCUCUCUGGCCCGGGUCUGACGCUGAGGCGCGAAAGCGUGGGGAGCAAACAG